rnacentral:rRNA from 1 species
AGCGAACGCUGGCGGCAGGCUUAACACAUGCAAGUCGAACGGCAGCACUUUAAGAGCUCGCUCUGACGGGUGGCGAGUGACGGGUGGGUGAGGCAUACAUAGGAAUCUAUUUAUUCGUGGGGGAUAAUGUAGGGAAAGUUAUGCUACUACCGAAUACGUCUCACGGGUGAAAGCAGGGGAGCUUCGGAUCUUGUGGGAUUGAAUGGGCCGAGGUCUGAUCAGCUAGUUGGGGGGGUAACGGCUCACCAAGGCGACGAUGGGUAGCCGGCCUGAGAGGGUGAACGGGCACCAUGGGACUGCGGGAGGGAGCAGACUCCUAUGGUAGGCAGUAGUGGGGAAUCUUGUCCAAUGGGCGGAAGUGUGAUGAAGCGACGCUGCGUUUGGGAUGACGGUCUUUUGGUUGUAAACAUCUGCAGGUAAGGAAGCCGCGAUAGUGACGGUACGCGAAGAAGAAGCGCCGGCUAACUACGUG